GGGGGCGACAGGUUUCGACGGGGGAGACAGUGACAGGGGGAGCGAGCCGGGGUGCCAUCAGCCCGUAAAAACGGUGGCAAAGGCAUAACUGCCAACAACGAAUCAUACGCCCUAGCCGCAUAAGCGGCUAGCAUCCUACCGGCCUGAGCCUGCAUGGCCGGACCAGGGUGUCAAAUUAAGCGGGCUUGCUCAAGGGCCAAUUCUCGGAGGUUCUUGAGGAGACGUAUCGAGAUAGUUCCGGGGGAGCCUGGCUGUAGGCGCCCACCGGAGCGAAAACAAACAACAGCCUGCGCUCGGAGAAUCUCCUGUGGUUGUUCUUUCGGACGGGGGUUCGAUUCCCCCCGCCUCCACCA
rnacentral:tmRNA from 1 species